GACGAACGCUGGCGGCGUGCUUAACACAUGCAAGUCGAACGGUGAAGCGCCUUCCUUUUUGGUGGGUGUGGAUGAGUGGCGAACGGGUGAGUAACACGUGAGUAACCUGCCCCCUUCUUCUGGAUAACCGCAUGAAAGUGUGGCUAAUACGGGAUAUUCUGGGUCUGUCGCAUGAUGGGUCUGGGAAAGAUAUUGUUUCGGUGGGGGAUGGGCUCGCGGCCUAUCAGCUUGUUGGUGGGGUGAUGGCCUACCAAGGCGGUGACGGGUAGCCGGCCUGAGAGGGUGGACGGUCACACUGGGACUGAGACACGGCCCAGACUCCUACGGGAGGCAGCAGUGGGGAAUAUUGCACAAUGGGCGCAAGCCUGAUGCAGCGUCGCCGCGUGAGGGAUGGAGGCCUUCGGGUUGUGAACCUCUUUCGCCAGUGAAGCAGGCCUGCCUCGUUUGUGGGUGGGUUGACGGUAGCUGGAUAAGAAGCGCCGGCUAACUACGUG
rnacentral:rRNA from 1 species